rnacentral:rRNA from 1 species
ACCUGGUUGAUCCUGCCAGUAGUGUAUGCUUCUCCUAAAGACUAAGCCAUGCAUGCCUCCGAAUAAGAAGAAGCAAUUCUCUCUGAAUCUGCGAACGGCUCCGCACACCAGUUGCAAACUAUAGCAAGCAAGCCCGUCGUUUACCGCAAGGUGGGCGGCGGGUAGAUGGAUAACCCUGGUAAUUCUGCGGCUAAUACAAGAACGCAAAGCCUCGCUGACUGGGUAACUGGAAGGCGGGGGGGCGUGCUCUUUAAGUUGCAAGUAUAACCGGGAAAGGGGGCACGUCAUGACCGCGCUAAAAAGGAAAGUUGGUUCACUCCUUCUCUCUAGCGGCUCUUGCUGUGUACUUCUGACCUAUCAACUAGAUGGCAGCGUAAGGGACAUGCUAUGGUUACAACGGGUACAGAGGAUUAGGGUUCGAUCCUGGAGAGUGGGCCUGAGAGAUUGCUCAUACUUCUAAGGAAGGCAGCAGGCGCGCAACGUUCCCAUUGGACAAUGUCUGAGGGCGUUAGGGGACAUAUGAAUGUCUGCCCAUUGGGUGGACAAUUCAAAUGGGUCUGUUGUAAACAGGCUCUCGAGUAACAAUUAGAGGACAAGUCUGGUGCCAGCACCCGCGGUAAUUCCAGCUCUAAUAGCAUACGUUAAAGUUGUUGCGGUUAAAACGCUCGUAGUCGGCUUAAGAUCGUCAGAAGCUUGAACCGGGAUCCUGGGUCUGUGUCCUUCGGGGCGCGCUGGGUGACUGGUGACGGUGGGCGGCGGUCAAGUGUGCUCUCUGCUGUACCUUCGGGUUCACAGGGCCGGGCGGUUCACUUCGGUGGGCCGUUCGGUUCGGCGGGGGGUGCCACUUACCAUGACCAAACCGGAGUGAUCGAAGCGGGUCUCACGACCUUGCACGGCACAGCAUGGAAUAGGUCUAGCCUCUCGGUUCGCCUUGCAAGCGGACCGGGGGGCAGAAGCGAUAGGGAUGUUCGAGGGUGACCGAAUUGUCGGGCGAGCGGUGAAAUGUGUUGACCCUGGCAAGUCGACCAAAGGCGAAAGCAGUCAUCAAGGGCAUACCCGUUGAUCAAGAGCGAAAGUUAAGGGCUCGAAGACGAUCAGAUACCGUCGUAGUCUUAACUAUAAAUGAUACUGACCAGGGAUAGGACUCUGUCCUUCUCGACUUCUCCUGGACCUUAGAGAAAUCAAAGUCUUUGAGUUCUGGGGGGAGUAUGGUCGCAAGGCUGAAACUUAAAGGAAUUGACGGAAGGGCACACAAAGAGUGGAACCUGCGGCUUAAUUUGACUCAACACGGGAAAACUCACCAGGUCCGGAUACGCGUAUGAAAGACAAGCUGAAAGACUUUUCUCAAUGACGUAAGUGGUGGUGCAUGGUCGUUCUUAGUUCGUGGAUUGAUUUGUCUGGUUUAUUCCGAUAACGAGCGAGACCCCAACGUUCCUAAUAGGAGCACCAGCCCGGCUCGACCGCUCCGGCGGACUUGCUAGCAGGUGUCUCUCUAGCUUCUUAGACGUAUCAGAGCCGAUAAGGUUCUUGAAAUGGGUUAAUAACAGGUCAGUCAUGCCCUUAGAUGUUCUGGGCCGCACGCGCGUUACAAUGGUAGCCAUCAGAAAGUGCCUGCAAAGGGUGUCUCCGUGGCCGAAAGGCUGCGGUAACCCAUAGUCGCUCCCUUGGCUGGGCCAGACUAUUGCAAUUAUUGGUCUCAAACGAGGAAUUUUUAGUAUACGCAGGUCAUUAACCUGCGCGGAAUGCGUCCCUGCCCUUUGUACACACCGCCCGUCGCUGCUACCGAUUGGGUUUUGCGGUUACGAGUUCGGAGGACCUGUCUCUCUGCCCUCACGGGUGGGUUGCAGGACCAAAGUUCUAAUUACCGCACGGCCUAGAGGAAGCAGAAGUCGUAACAAGGUAAUCGUAGGUGAACCUGCGUUUGGAUCAUUAACAACGUCAUACGGACUGACGUCAAAAACACCGUAGGGCUCUGAACGCUUCACUCCAGGGGUCAUGACCUAGGAGAGGCAAGCAAGUAAGGGACCGCCACGAAAGCCCCACUCCAGGGAUCAUGACCUGGGAGAGGCGGGCGAGUAGCGGACCCACUGGAAAAGACCUACUGGGAGACCUCCUCACGGGGGGGACUCAUGGGCACUAACCCGUAGGUGAACCUGCGGAAG